UGGGGAAUAUUGCACAAUGGGCGAAAGCCUGAUGCAGCAACGCCGCGUGGGUGAUGAAGGUUCUUGGAUUGUAAAGCCCUUUCGGCUAGGAAGAAGGGCGGUAUAGUUAAUACCUAUAUCGUUUGACGGUACUAGAAGAAGAAGCACCGGCUAACUCCGUGCCAGCAGCCGCGGUAAUACGGAGGGUGCAAGCGUUGUUCGGAUUGAUUGGGCGUAAAGCGCACGUAGGCGGGUCUGUAAGUCGGAUGUGAAAGCCCAGGGCUUAACCUUGGAAUUGCAUCCGAAACUACAAAUCUUGAAUACUCGAGAGGUCAGUGGAAUUCCUGGUGUAGGAGUGAAAUCCGUAGAUAUCAGGAGGAACACCGGAGGCGAAGGCGACUGGCUGGUGAUGUAUUGACGC
rnacentral:rRNA from 1 species